UCUCCGUAGGUGAACCUGUGGAGGGAUUUUUACUGAGUGAGGGCUUCGGUCCGACCUCCAACCCUCUGUGAACCAAACUUGUUGCUUCGGGGGCGACCCUGCCGCUUCGGCGGUGCGGCGCCCCCGGAGGCCAUUAAACACUGCAUCAUUGCGUCGGAGUUAAAGUAAAUUAAACAAAACUUUCAACAGCGGAUCUCUUGGUUCUGGCAUCGAUGAAGAACGCAGC
rnacentral:misc_RNA from 1 species